AAAAGAAAACAGAAAAAGCUAUCUGGAUCUCAAUAAUAGGGUUCAUGCAAUGAAUGGGUAUGAAGGUGGGUUGAAGAUGAUUGAGGAACUGACCACAAAUGCUGAGCAAACUCAAGACGAGGUAUUGAGGGAAAUAUUAAGUAGAAAUAUAGGAACAAGUAUUUAAUGGGAUUCCUCCAUGGUCAAACCGAGAAGCAACUCUUUAAGAAAAAUGUUCCCAUAGUUACGUAUAAAGAUCUCAAGCCUUACAUAGAUAGGAUUGCUAAUGGGGGAGACAUCAGAUAUCCUUUUAGCUGAACCCGUUACAGGGUUCUUUCUAAGGCAUGCAUGAAUUUGUUGCUUUGCUUCUGUGUGUUUUGGGGUAUUUGUUGUUUCCUUCUAAUUGCUUUAUUAUCUUUUGGAUCAAAUGCAGCUCUAGGACUUCAGGCGGGCAGCCAAAGCUGUUGCCUGUCACUGCUGAAUAUCAGAAAAAACAAGCGAAACAGACCUUUUCAAGGUUGUGACACAAGCAAAGACUCUUGUUAAACAUUGGUCUGCAAUGCAACAUUAGACCAGCAGCAACUCUAAAAGGAUGGCAGCAUUGAAGCCGAACCAGAAGCAGCCUUAGCAUUUUGUUUCUUUUUUUCAAAUGUAACUUGCUUUAGUUGGUUUGUAACUUGUAAUCAAAGUUAGUAAGACUUUUUGAUGUAAUGGAUGUAAUGGCUGAUCAUAUCAGCUUACUUGUGUAUGUGGUUCACAUUUUGUAAUUGUUAAGUAUUACUGGGAGUAGCUAAGUCAUUAGGUAAAUUUCCAUUGACUUUGUAAUUCAUUUAAGCUACUAUUUUUUCUCAAUGAAAUCAUGAAUUUUUCAGUUAUUC
rnacentral:lncRNA from 1 species